rnacentral:rRNA from 1 species
AGCGUUGUCCGGAUUUAUUGGGCGUAACGAGCGUGUAGGCGGUUCGGUAGGUCCGUUGUGAAAACUCGAGGCUCAACCUCGAGACGCCGAUGGAAACCAUCUAACUAGAGUCCGGAAGAGGAGAGUGGAAUUCCUGGUGUAGCGGUGAAAUGCGCAGAUAUCAGGAGGAACACCGAUGGCGAAGGCAGGUCUCUGGGCAGUAACUGACGCUGAGGAGCGAAAGCGUGGGGAGCGAACAGG